AUGUAGCACAAUGGAUAGCGCGUCGGAUUUCUAAUUCAAAGGUAGUGGGUUCGAAUCCCACCUGGAAUA